rnacentral:lncRNA from 1 species
GCCUUUGCUAGGGAUUCUGUUUUCGGCUUCAGGUGUUGUGCUUUUGUCUUGGCUAAGCUUUCAAGAGAUUGUAGCUGCAGAGAAUCUUCUCUACUGUGUUGGUAUGAUCUUGGAGUUUAUAGCUUUUGUAAGGAUGAGGAUGAAAUACCCGGCUGCGUCUAGACCUUACAAGAUACCUAUUGGAACAGUAGGUUCGAUACUCAUGUGUGUUCCUCCAACGAUACUGAUCUUUGCUGUUGCAGCACUCUCGUCUCUUAAAGUAGCUGCAGUGAGCUUUGUGAUGCUGAUCAUUGGUUUCUUGAUGCAUCCUUGUUUGAACCAUAUGGAUCGAAAGAGAUGGCUCAAAUUCUCCAUCAGUUCUGAUCUACCGGACCUGCAGCAACAGACGAGAGAAUGCGAAGAAACUCUGAUACGUUAGGAGUGUUCUUGGUUCUUUUGCCCCCAUCUAUGUUUUUGAGUACAGAACUUGGAAGCCAUAUAAGCCCAAAAAGCUUGAAUUUUCUUGGUCUCUUUUGUUUAUUCACAGCUUUUUCUAAAAGUUUCCGUAAAGUUAGGUCAUCGUUAGCUUCUUCUUUAGAACACGGUUUUAAUAAAAAUGUGCAAUGUUUGUAUCUGCCAUUGUUGAUAGGUGUAAUUUAAUGUCUUUGAACAGAACCUAGAGGAACUUUGGGAUGAAUUUCGAAAUCCUUCACCUAUUAAAAAUGUAAACUUUAACAUUUCUCUUAAACAAAAGUUUCCAAAGAGGAAAAGAACAAAUCAACUUUUGGUCAACACUCAACACAGUGCAGAAGAUUUCAUCGCUAAUGAUUGGAAAGACAGAAAAACCCCACAGACCCAAAAAAAGCAAAUAGCAGAAGAUUCAGAAUCAGAACCAGUCUCAAAUGUUUGACCAUUUCCUCGCCUGAAAGCAAAACUGCUUGUCUCAUAUAAACCGGAGAUGGAUCUAUCACUACCGUCUCCGUCGCUUGUCUGCUCAUCUUUCUCAACGAUUCGUCUUUCAUUUCCUUUAUUAGUUUAUUAAUAUUUUGUGGAUAUGAUAUGGACAAUCUCAAACCAGAGAACCACAUUUUCUUCCUCGAAGAUAUGACAUCAAUACGGAUAUGGGUCUGUUUUGUUUUCUUCUUAAAGCAUCUUUGACUCUUCUCAAUCUAAAGACGACCCUCGAUUCUCUCACGGUUUGUUCUUCUCCACCUCUCGUAAAAGUUUAAACUCUCGUAUCAAGCAUUCUAGAAAUUUAUCCGAUUGUUUUAUUAGAUCAGAGAAGAAAAGGAUUAUCACCAUGAGAGACAACAACAACAAUGACCAUCCUUACGACGAAGUUCCAUCGCCUAAAGCAGCAACCAAUUCUACUCACAAAGUUUCAAUGUUACCACUCGUUUUCCUCAUAUUCUACGAAGUCUCGGGAGGUCCAUUUGGUGCUGAAGGCAGUGUGAAUGCAGCAGGACCAUUGUUAGCACUUAUAGGCUUUAUCAUCUUCCCUUUCAUUUGGUGUGUCCCCGAGGCACUAAUCACUGCAGAGAUGAGCACAAUGUUCCCGAUAAACGGCGGUUUUGUGGUUUGGGUCUCCUCUGCUUUAGGACCCUUUUGGGGUUUCCAAGUUGGUUGGAUGAAAUGGCUUUGCGGGGUUAUCGACAACGCUCUCUAUCCCGUUCUCUUCCUCGACUAUCUGAAAUCCGCGGUCCCGGUUUUAUCCACCGGUUCGCCUAGAGCUGCAUCGAUCUUGAUCUUGACUCUUUUGCUUACUUACUUAAACUACAGAGGACUAACCAUUGUUGGUUGGACCGCUGUGUUUAUGGGAGUGUUUUCGAUGCUUCCUUUCGCUGUAAUGACUCUUGUUUCGAUCCCAAAGCUCGAGCCUUUAAGAUGGCUUGUCACAGAUUUAGGAGAUGUGAAUUGGAACUUGUACCUAAACACUCUGUUCUGGAACUUAAACUACUGGGACUCGGUUAGUACACUAGCCGGAGAAGUGGCGAACCCGAGCCAAACACUUCCAAAGGCAUUGUAUUACGGUGUGAUCUUCGUCGCUCUUUCCAACUUCCUACCUCUUUUGGCAGGAACCGGGGCUAUACCGUUAAACCGGGAGCUUUGGACCGACGGUUAUCUAGCUGAAGUCGCGGGAAUCAUCGGUGGAGGAGGAUGGUUGAGAUUGUGGGUUCAAGUGGCUGCAGCUACAUCGAACAUGGGAAUGUUUAUAGCUGAAAUGAGUAGCGAUUCUUUUCAGCUUCUUGGAAUGGCUGAGAUCGGUAUGAUUCCCGAGGUUUUCGCGAAACGUUCUCGUUACGGUACGCCAUUGUUAGGGAUUCUGUUUUCAGCUUCAGGGGUUUUGCUUUUGUCUGGAUUAAGUUUUCAAGAGAUUGUAGCUGCGGAGAAUCUGCUUUACUGUGGUGGAAUGGUUUUGGAGUUUAUAGCGUUUGUUAGGCUGAGGAUGAAAUAUCCGGCUGCGUCGAGACCGUAUAAGAUACCUGUUGGAAACUUUGGUUCGGUUCUGAUCUGUGUUCCUCCCAUUUUGUUGAUCUGUUCCGUGGUUGUGCUAUCGACUCUUAAAG